UUAAAUUGAAGAGUUUGAUCAUGGCUCAGAUUGAACGCUGGCGGCAGGCCUAACACAUGCAAGUCGAGCGGUAGCACAGAG
rnacentral:rRNA from 3 species